ACCCGGAUGAUACACCCUAACCUCCUUCUUCCUCUGUGUUAAACCAAACCCCAACCUCGUUUCUUCUUUGUCUCUCGACACAUCUAUCAAAUCUUAUUUUCUAUCAAAACUUAAUUUUUCUUUAUCUCUCUCAUCUUCAUCUAUUCUUAUGCGAAAAGUCAAAUAACCUCUCUUAUUUUUCUUGGAUUAUCAUAUUGUUUAUUCAAUCAAGGUUUUCGAAGCAGGUUUUUAAAUGUAAAUGAAGGGAGUGGUGUAUAUUCGAGACCAGUGUGACAUGUCUCGACUUCAGGAAUUGAAGUGAAAAAAUUGGGUAAACAUGUUGAUGUUACCCUUUGAUCCAGAUGGAUGCUGCCUAACCGAGAUUUUUACAAGUCUUUUCGAAUUAAAGGGUGAGAAAAGCACAAAUACACCAAGUUUUUGAGUUGAGAUUGGUAGCCAUGGAGCACUCGAGGAGAAUCACUGGCUUCAUGAUGGUGC